GGAUUCACCGGAAAAAGAUGGAAACAAAAUGGAAAGAGCCAAGUAGGAAUGUGACGUCGGACCUGGUGAAAUCAUGGCGGCCUUUGGAAUCCAUUGUAAGAACGACGAUGAAUUUUCUGAUGUUUCGAGCGCUGAACACUAUUCUGAAUGGUCCCACGAAGACACUGAAGAAUAUGAGCUUUAUAAAGGUGUUAAUGGCUAUCAAUUUGAGCGAGUUCGACAGCACACAUGUUCGAAUGCAGACCAAAUAGCUGGCCAUGAAGAAGGUUCCGAGCACACAGAGAACAGGAUAUGCCUCGUGUCGGAAAGAAGGACUGGUGUGCAUGUAGAGGCUGCAUGCAAACAACUGGAAAUCAUUUGCUGCUAUGAUCACGGGAGUGCUGAGAUUAUCCCAGCUGUCAUCAAGGAGAAGGAACUGGCGAUCCCGGAGAAAACCCACGCAGGCACGGGGAGAACAUGCAAACCACACAGUGAGGGCUGGGAUUGAACACAGGUCCUCAGCCCUGUGAGGCCAACGCUUUCCAGCUGCUCCACCGUGCCACCAUUUGUACACAUUAUUAUCCUGUUUUUCUAGUUGGGAAUAGUGAAACGAUUUGUGGGAAUAAAAUAUUUUUCGCUAAGAGCGAUAUGUGCCUCUAUCAUUCAACCAUGUGCUAAAAGUUUUCAAGAAAAAAACCCCAUAGUUCCGCAACUUGUCUUUUAACAAAAGCUCUUUGCAGUUUUGGUACUUUCGGGGUUGGGUGAGCUUGUUGAAGCGUGUCCAGGUUCAGAAGCCGAUCCAAGUUCACGUUUUGUGCCUUUAGCAACAACGAUCUGUUCAGGUGUUGGAACUGGCUGUAUGGUAGGCACCAAAUUUUAACACUGAAAACCCAUCUCAGACAUGAGUCCACCAGUAAAGGUGUCCGGGGUGAAAUGUUCACUGCAUAUGACAGACUGUUGACUAGGGAAUUCUAGAAACGAAUGGAUUUUUCUCCGGUGCAAAUACGAAAGGCUCCAGGCUAAUGCUCGCCCCGCAACAAGAUGUUUACCUGUCGUGACGUCAGAGGUCAGCCACAUGAAAGGAGGCAUUUUUCCAGACACAGGAAACUAGGUCA